rnacentral:rRNA from 1 species
UACAGAGGGUGCGAGCGUUGUCCGGAAUCACUGGGCGUAAAGGGCGCGUAGGUGGCCCGACAAGUCUGUGGUGAAAGCUCGACGCUCAACGUCGAGUCGGCCAUAGAUACUGUUGGGCUGGAGCACUGUAGAGGCUCAUGGAAUUCCGGGUGUAGCGGUGGAAUGCGUAGAGAUCCGGAAGAACACCGGUGGCGAAGGCGGUGAGCUGGGCAGUAGCUGACACUGAGGCGCGACAGCGUGGGGAGCAAACAGGG